rnacentral:lncRNA from 1 species
GUCAUCGAACCAAAAUCAAUCUGAGGUUCACCAUGAAAUAAAUUCAUGCUAAACAGAGGCAAAGACAGCGUAGUGUCUCCUCUCCCCCUGGCUAAGCACCCUGUCCAUCUACCCCUAACAGAACUAAAACGCUAAAGCUAGCGCUCUCUAUCUCUCUCUAUGAUACACACAUACGCACCCCUCCUUUCCGGCCAAUUUAUCCACAACUAAAGACAAACUUAAAACUAUUAUGAAAAUGGAUCAUGCAAAUGGUCAUAAAGACAAAACUUAUCUAUUUGCAAACAUAAAUGCAGAAAGCUAGAGCUACCAUAAACAUAAUCUUCCUUGAAGGUUCAGUGUUCACAUAACGUAGCUCCCUCUAAGGAUUAGGUUAAAAAUUUCACAAUUUACCUCCUCUGAUGGCAUGUAUCAAUAGAUGUCAGAAUUCCAACAGAAUACAAGAACAUGUGAAGCUAAGUCCAAAAAAGAUGGCCAACGGGCAGAAUUAAGGUCAACACCAAUUUUCAAGCGUGAAAAUCAACAAAUAGGAAAUCUAUUACAUAAGUUUUAACCUUUAAUCCGCCACCUAACAGAUAAACAUGAAUAAAAUGUAGUAGUAACAAACAAGUAAAGGAAUUGAAUACAGAUCUAAAAAUUGGAAAUUACAGAUUCAAUCUAGAUCUACAAUCUAGAUACAAAAUUUCUAAGUAUUCCCUGCAACACCCGACGCCACAACUAGUUUUUCUACCAAAGAAAUAUUACAGUUCAACUAAAUUGAAUAAUUGAUUCACAUCAAAUUUAGAAGCUCCACAAACCAACCUCAUAUUCGUGUUACCAAACGUGAUCCGACUAGACACGAGCAGCAACAGCCGGAGCAGCGGCAGCCGCGGCAGAGGAGGCAGCACCACCGAGGAACGAAAGGAAUCCAACGUUGCCCGGCUCUUGAUCAUCA